GGGAGGCUAGCUCAAGGGUAGAGUGUAUGCUUAGCAUGCAUGAAGUCCUGGGUUCCAUCCCCAGUAUUUCA
rnacentral:tRNA from 1 species